ACAUGUGGGAUCUUCCCGGACCAGGGCUCGAACCCAUGUUCCCUGCAUGGGCAGGUGGAUUCUUAACCACUGUGCCACCAGGGAAGCCCAGAAAUGAACAAAGAUUAUGUUAAAGGGUUUUGGUCUCUUGUUUUAUUGGAACCAACUUUUUUUUAAAGGGGAAGAAUGUUUUAUUUUCCCAGUUAGAGCAUAAUGAGGUCCAGAUUCUUCAUCUGUAAAAGACAGUCAGAAAUCUUUGGGACUUACCUCUGACUGUUCACUUCCCUGCCCUACCCAGUACUGUUGAAGGAACAUUUUGAGCAAUACUGUACAUGACUUCUUAGUUCUGAAUUCAGACAGGAUGCAGUGUUAACUAAUAUGCUAAACUAUGCCUAACCACUAAUGGGCCUUUCUCUCUCCUUGGACAUUGGAUGGGACUGCCACUGAGUGUCUCCCAGAGGGAAGUGAUUCAAGACAAAGACCCAUUCUGCCAGUGGGCUAUGCUGGGAAUACCAACUAUGCUUGUUACAGAAUGUGCACGGUGACUGCUGACCGGCCUUCCCGAUGCCAGCAAGAGGGUACAGAAGCAAUCUCCCAAGCUUUCCACAACAUUCAAGUGACCAGGCACUUUGACCCCCAUCUUAGGGGCUGCCCCAAAGAAGCUGUGUUCCUACCUCACUUGGUGCCCCUAAGCGGCAGUUCAGACACCAGAGGGUGUAUGACCCUUGUUGAAAUGGAUUUGUCAUAGACUCAACCAGAGCAUCAGUUCACACUUUCCCACUCUUGUCGCUACUUUUCACCAAGGGCUUCAGAGAAAAGACGUCACCACACUGUGCAGCAACCCCAACUAGGGAUCAAACCCAUGCCACCUUCAUUGGGAGCACAAAGUCUUAACCACUGGACCACCAGGGAAGUCCCUACACAGACUUCUUUACAGGAUAGCUCAAGACUCCGAGACGACUGCCUAAGAGAGCACAGAAGAGAUCUCAUGCCCUGUGGCUUCUCUGAAACAGCCAGAGAACCUCAGGGAAGUGUUACGCUUGUAGCCUGGAGCCAGGGAACCAGAGGAGACCAGAGGUGAGAACCUCCUGGUUCCCAAGGCCUGGAGCGCAUCUGCCAAUCUGGGAAAUGCAGUCAGCAUAGGUCCUCCAAGUGAGAGGCUGGUUUGGGCUGGAGAACUGGUCUGCGUUCAAGCCUCUUUCUUCUUUAACGAAAAGCUAAGUUAAGACCGUGGUUGCUGACACUCUCUGAAGAAUGCCAAAAACAUCCAGAAACAAAUUUAUGGAACACGCCCUGUUUUCAUUUCCUGCUACGACAAAUUACUAUAACCUGGGAGGCUUAAAACAUCAGAACUUGAUUCUUUGCAGAGUUCUGGAGGCCAGAGGUCCAAAACUAAGGUGUCGGCAGGGCUGUGACCCCUCUAGUCUUUAGGGGGAAUAUCCUUCCCUGCCUCUUCCAUCUUCUGGUGGCUCCAGGUGUCCCUUGGCUGUGGCAGCAUCACUCCAGUCUCUGACCCCAUGGUCACACUGCCUCUU